rnacentral:rRNA from 1 species
CCUACGGGUGGCAGCAGUGGGGAAUAUUGCACAAUGGGCGAAACCCUGAUGCAGCGACGCCGCGUGAGCGAUGAAGUAUUUCGGUAUGUAAAGCUCUAUUAGCAGGGAAGAAAAUGACGGUACCUGACUAAGCUGCCCCUGCUAACUACGUGCCAGCAGCCGCGGUAAUACGUAGGGGGCACGCGUGCUCCGGAUUUACUGGGUGUAAAGGGAGCGUAGAUGGUCCGGCAAGCCAGAGGUGAAAGCCCGGGGCUCAACCCCGGAACUGCAUUUGAAACUGUAAGGCUAGAGUGUCGGAGAGGCAGGCGGAAUUCCUAGUGUAGCGGUGAAAUGCGUAGAUAUUAGGAGGAACACCAGUGGCGAAGGCGGCCUGCUGGACGAUGACUGACGCUGAGGCUCGAAAGCGUGGGGAGCAAACAGGAUUAGAUACCCCAGUAGUC